rnacentral:piRNA from 1 species
UUGAUAUUGAGCAACUUGAAAAUGAAAACA